rnacentral:rRNA from 1 species
AACGAACGCUGGCGGCAGGCCUAACACAUGCAAGUCGAACGCUGUAGCAAUACAGAGUGGCAGACGGGUGAGUAACGCGUGGGAACAUGCCCUUCGGUUCGGAAUAACUCAGGGAAACUUGAGCUAAUACCGGAUACGCCCUUAGGGGGAAAGAUUUAUUGCCGAAGGAUUGGCCCGCGUCCGAUUAGCUAGUUGGUGAGGUAAUGGCUCACCAAGGCGACGAUCGGUAGCUGGUCUGAGGGGAUGAUCAGCCACACUGGGACUGAGACACGGCCCAGACUCCUACGGGAGGCAGCAGUGGGGAAUAUUGGACAAUGGGCGCAAGCCUGAUCCAGCCAUGCCGCGUGAGUGAUGAAGGCCCUAGGGUUGUAAAGCUCUUUCGCCAGGGACGAUAAUGACGGUACCUGGAUAAGAAGCCCCGACUAACUUCGUGCCAGCCGCCGCCGUAAAAC